UACAGGGGGUGCAAACGUUGCUCGGAAUUAUUGGGCGUAAAGCGCACGUAGGCGGUUCGUUAUGUCAGAUGUGAAAGCCCUUGGCUCAACUGAGGAAGUGCAUCUGAAACUGGCGAGCUAGAGUAUGUAAGAGGGUCGCGGAAUUCCCGGUGUAGAGGUGAAAUUCGUAGAUAUCGGGAGGAACACCGGUGGCGAAGGCGGCGAACCUGGGACAAU
rnacentral:rRNA from 1 species